rnacentral:lncRNA from 1 species
UAAAGAAGAGUUUUUCGGCUUGUAGAUGAAUUGAAAUCUAAUUGUAGGAUAAAGACUUUUAUUCUUUAUGAGAUUGACAUUGAGAACUGGUCAUGAUUUUGUGGGAUUAAAAUCCUUAUUCUUUAGUUAAAAAUCGCCUAAGAUAAGAUGAGUGAUCAAUAAGAACUCUUUGUAGAAGAUUUGGCCGAAUGUCCAAGAUUUCUAGGACUCUUUGUGGAAGAGUUAGGAUCCUCAGUGCUCGGUUUCCAUGAG